CAAAGAAAUCAAUUAUGUCACUGGCAUAAGCACACACACAAGACAAUGGAACGGAAAUUGAGAGCCCAAACUAAACCCUUGCAUGAACAGUCAACUAGUAUUUGACAAGGGAGUCAAGAAUACAUAGUGGAGAAGGGUAUUCUCUUGAAUAACUGGGGCUGGGAAAAUUGGAUAUACACGUGCAUAAGAAUAAAGCUUAGCACCUUAUGUUAUACCACUCCAAGAAUUAACUUGAAAUGGAUUAAAGAUGUAAAUGAAUAGUACGGAAACCAAAUUCUUCCUCAUCGUUUCAGCUCUUACUAUGCCAAGACGGAGCUGUUGAGGUGGUGAAGGGCUGGGUGGAGAGUAGUCCUGGACAUAGAAGACUGUGUGUGUGGAACAGACUUUCUUUAGUAGUCUGGAAUUAUCCCUCUGAUUCUUUAAGACUAGCCACUUCCUUCCCCACAUUUGCAGACACAGCUAGUACCAUGCUGCCAGCAAUGCACUGCUUUGCCUCCUCCAACUCUUAGAAAUUCUAGGUGGGACCCAGUGGGAAGGGUGGAGUUUAGAAGCACUGAUGCUGCCCUGUUGACACCAGGUGGAGAGGAAGGAGACAGGUGCCAUUCGGCUUCAUUGGGGUUCAGGUAUGUUAGUGUUGGUGUUGGUGUUGAAUUUUUCACCUUUUACCCUAACACAUCUCAAAAGUUUAAUUUCUGUCCUGCAGGUCCACGUGGUUUCCAGGAUAUUUCCUCCUUUCCCAGAAGUGCCCUCCAUGUCAUACCCCGUGGGCUGACAUUUAUCACCACCCAUGGGCUUUGGACCACCCCCACCUUCUCCAAACUGGGGUCCUCUGGGACCUCACCUUCCUCCUCCACCAUGUGGAAAGAUGAUAUGACUAGUAUGAGUUGACUUAUAAAACACGUUGUGUCUUUUACUUGUUAUGUGUUUGGAGGAGAUGCAUUGAUGGCACCACAGGGCUUUCAGGUCAGCCUGAGUGAGGACGUUGUAAGGUUCUUCAAGUUUCUCAGGACAUGCAUGAAAUGGGCAGUCAUUUCCACAUAGUGAGCUGGGCAACACGUGUCUCUGAUAGAGAAGGAAAGAGGCCUUAUACGUGCUGAGAGACAUAGCAUUCCUUGGGAUGUAGCUUGUACAGAGACCAUGUGCUGGGCUCUCUGAGGGAUGAAACACACCCCUAACAUACUUUCUAGCGAGUUGAGACCUGAGCUGCUCACAGCUGCUUGUUUAGUUACAAAAACACCUGAACCAGGGCCCUGUGAACCUUCCUCAAGGGACAGGAUCAGAUCUCCCUCUUGUCCUCAAGGGUCACCCGAGGCACGUGGAAAACGCUCUGUCCCUGGUAAGGGACCCGAGAGUGUGAAUGAGUUGAAUAUAAUGAUACAUGUUCAGGAUGGUUUGUUUUUCUUCCACACAGUCUAUGCAAGUCAGAAUCAACCUCCAUCCGCCUCCAUCCUUUAUGAGACCUAAGACGUGAUGCAGCUCCAAUGGGAAAUAUCAGUUGUGUCUCUACCAAGGAUGCAGAAAAAGACAAGAUUCAGGCUUGUUUCCGGUAAGAAACGCUGACAGAAAUUCAGAAGAACGGGAGCUGCAUUCCAUUAGGACUUGAAUACACGAAAUGUUCGUCUCAGGACCUUCUAGAAGAAUGAGCUGGGACCCACUUUCCGAGUCCUGCUGGAACCAGUGACCGAGAUAUUGCCCAGGUGGCUGAGGCCUGCACUAGGGUACCUACCUCCUUUUCGGAUAGACUGUAUUCCCUUUCCAUGUUUUAGCUGUACCUGUGACACAGGACACGAGAGAACGUGCUCAUGUGAACACAAGUGAAGGACACCGUGGGGACUUGCCACACAGAUAUUUGUGCCCAGGGCACACCUGAAGGGACUCUGGACAGCAUGUUUACCAAAAUGCUGAUGGGUAUGAAAUUUACAUUCUAAAGGACACAUACAAAAAUAUAAAUUGGAGUGAAGGCAGUUCGCAUUUUCAAAUUGUAACGAUACCCACAGAUUUUCUGAGCACGUUAAAAUCCUCAAUAGAAGGAAACAGGAGAGGAAGACACAGCAAGAGCAAAGAUUCCACAUUGAGGAGAUCCACAAAGAAUGAGGCAAGGUAGGAGACUUCCAAGUGGAGUGUGGUGUCAUCCUCCUUGAUUUAUUCCCGGAACACAUUGGAAAAGCCCUAUGGCCCCCACCUUUAGGCAUGCUUAGCUGCUCAAGUAACCACAAAAAGAUGCCAGCUGGGAAAUAGGGAAGCCCGUAGACUCGGCAGUAAAUGUUUUGCAUUUGGGGGGG